AAGGUAUCCAAUGAAACUCCCCGUGUCCUCGAAGGGAGUUACUCCCGUAGACUGCACGUGGAG
rnacentral:ncRNA from 1 species